rnacentral:rRNA from 1 species
GUGCCAGCCGCCGCGGUAAAACGUAGGACGCGAGCGUUAUCCGGAGUUACUGGGCGUAAAGCGCGGGCAGGCGGUCAUUCAAGUGGGAUGUGAAAGCGCUCGGCUUAACCGGGCGAGGCCAUUCCAAACUGGAUGACUGGAGGGCAGUAGAGGUGGGUAGAAUUCCGGGUGGAGUGGUGAAAUGCGUAGAGAUCCGGAGGAAUACCAGAGGCGAAGGCGGCCCACUGGGCUGCACCUGACGCUGAGCCGCGAAAGCCAGGGGAGCGAACGGGAUUAGAUACCCUCGUAGUCC